AUUGAACGCUGGCGGUAGGCCUAACACAUGCAAGUCGAACGGCAGCACAGUAAGUGCUUGUUCUUACGGGUGGCGAGUGGCGGACGGGUGAGGAAUACAUCCGAAUCUACUUUUUCGUGGGGGAUAACGUAGGGAAACUUACGCUAAUACCCCAUACGACCUACGGGUGAAAGCAUGGGAUCUUCGGACCUUGCGCGAUUCAAGGAGCGGAUGUCGGAUUAGUUAGUUGGCGGGGUAAAGGCCCACCAAGGCGACGAUCCGUAGCUGGUCUGAGAGGAUGAUCAGCCACACUGGAACUGAGACACGGUGCAGACUCCUACGGGAGGCAGCAGUGGGGAAUAUUGGACAAUGGGCGAAAGCCUGAUCCAGCCAUGCCGCGUGUGUGAAGAAGGCUUUCGGGUUGUAAAGCCCUUUUGUUGGGAAAGAAAAGCAGCAGGUUAAUACCCCGCUGUUCUGACGGUACCCAAAGAAUAAGCACCGGCUAACUUCGUG
rnacentral:rRNA from 1 species